rnacentral:other from 1 species
AAGAACCUGAAAUGUUCGACACACCUGCUAUUUUGAACCUACAAUACUUUAAACGGGAUUCUUAUAUUUCUGUAAUAUGUCAGGCCUCCGUUGCAGUGGAAGACAAAAAAGCAGAUGCGGUUGCCCACCUAGCUUUGGCUAGGAGUCAAAAUACAGGACCGGCAUUUUGGGGAAACU